rnacentral:lncRNA from 1 species
UGUGCUGCGCACCGUCAACCCCGUCAUGCGAAAACCAGGGCUAAUCUAGUCAAGGAUACAUAAGCACAUAGCGUUUAUUGAUAACCGGUUUGGAACAACCUUGGAACGCUCCAUUUCUAUAGCUGUAUCUUCUUAUCCUACCUUUUCUCUGUUGCAAUCAGAUCAGAUUUCAUCAUGUGUUUAUGGCGGUUGGCGGAGCGACACGGGGUAUUUGUAACAUAACCUAGUCAUAAGAUAUUUUUGGCUGGCUUGCAAGAUUUCCCCGUAAUUUAUGUUAACGUCCUUUUGGAGUGGUUGAAUCUGACAGAUAUCCAUCAAUCGAGUAGUAUCACAGGCAAAUAACAUCAAAUCCCCAGAUUUCUUCUAUAGGCACCUCGCUAUCACUCGACACCCGCGCCAAUAUGGACACCGCGUGAUAUACCAAGAAGCUUCCUGUUCCCAUGGUUGCCCACCUGGCUAUUCAUCUCCAAGGGCUGUUUCUCUGUGCUUUCCUUGGGGUGGAUACGGCAAUGAGUCCUGAAAAGUCUCCCUAAGAAACCGACGUGGAGUUGUCGUAGUUGGUGGUAGCCCCGAUUCAAGUCCAUCGACUUCUUCUCCCAGCGCUCAAAACCCCAUCAGCCUGAUUUGCAAAUCCCAUGGCAAGCCACAAUUGCCUGAAAAUUGUUGUUGUUGUUUUGAGGUAGUAGUUCUUCCUUAUUGUCUCCAUCCGACUUCAAUGCAAUGCGUCAAGUAUCAUCAUAUCGCGGGGCAUCUAAAGGAAGUUCUGACCUGAACUUGUAUAUAAUCUCUCUCAAUAGACUCCACACCCUGCAAUUGACCAUCUGUGACAGCUGUGUCACCAGGUCUUUUCGUUUCAUCUUUCUGCUUUCGUUGUUAAAUCUUACAGAAAAUCGAAUUCUUCUUGACUUCAUCUGGUGGUUCGAUUUGGUACCAUCCAUUCAAGCCAUUCGAAAGGCUCGU